rnacentral:rRNA from 1 species
UACGUAGGGGGCAAGCGUUGUCCGGAAUCAUUGGGCGUAAAGCGCGUGUAGGCGGCCCGGUAAGUCCGCUGUAAAAGUCCAGGGCUCAACCCUGGGAUGCCGGUGGAUACUGUCGAGCUCGAGUCCGGAAGAGGCGAGUGGAAUUCCUGGUGUAGCGGUGAAAUGCGCAGAUAUCAGGAGGAACACCAAUGGCGAAGGCAGCUCGCUGGGACGUGACUGACGCUGAGACGCGAAAGCGUGGGGAGCAAACAGG